rnacentral:rRNA from 1 species
GUGGGGAAUUUUGGACAAUGGGCGAAAGCCUGAUCCAGCCAUGCCGCGUGUGUGAAGAAGGUCUUCGGAUUGUAAAGCACUUUAAGUUGGGAGGAAGGGCAGUAAGUUAAUACCUUGCUGUUUUGACGUUACCGACAGAAUAAGCACCGGCUAACUUCGUGCCAGCAGCCGCGGUAAUACGAAGGGUGCAAGCGUUAAUCGGAAUUACUGGGCGUAACGCGCGCGUAGGUGGUUGUGUAAGUUGGAGGUGAAAUCCCCGGGCUCAACCUGGGAACUGCAUCCAAAACUGCAUGACUAGAGUACGGUAGAGGGUAGUGGAAUUUCCUGUGUAGCGGUGAAAUGCGUAGAUAUAGGAAGGAACACCAGUGGCGAAGGCGACUACCUGGACUGAUACUGACACUGAGGUGCGAAAGCGUGGGGAGCAAACAGGAUUAGAAACCCUGGUAGUCC